CUGGGGUUCUCAGAGCUGUAAUGUUGUAAGAGGGAUUUGACGUGGGCUUGAAGCUGCGUUCUUGCGCUGGAUUUGGUAAAGGGGGAUUUUGGGUUGUCAGACGUGUAGAUUGUGAGCCAACCCGACAUCACCUUCGGUUUUCUCGGGUCGUCUUCCUCGUCACUGCUGCUGCUACUACCUGUAGUAAUUAGAGUAGAUUGAAUUGAAUAUGAAGCUGGUUAAAAGUGGACUUUAAACUUUUUGGACAAAAAUUAUAAGUUUAAUUUUCACAGUUCACAAACUAUAAGUGUUAUGCUUGCAUGUCAAAUUUUAUAAUAAAAAAAUAUCACUACUAAAAUAAUUAUAAAAAAAAUAAUUUUAUCAUUCAUGAGAGAAAUUCUUGAGCAUCCUCUAAAUUUAAAUAGUUUUAGAAUCGUUAUUAUGUUUUUUUUAGGAUAUAAUUUUUUAGUUUUCUCCUUGUUUAUUCCAAAAUUGUUGAAGUCAUUAUUAUGUGUCUUCAUCACAUCACGGACUCACGGACAUAGGUUUAACUUUUGCAAGAUAACGAGUUUCAUGGUUCAUGCCCUUACCGUCUUUGUUUCCAUCCUUCAGCUCUUUGAGGCUCUUAGCACUGAGCAACCCGGAAGCAUCCACCUGCCCAGCCCCANNNNN
rnacentral:lncRNA from 1 species